ACCCGCAGCACCAGCAGUUUGAGAUCCGCAGCCACAGAACCGGAAGUGAGGGGAGGAGCUAUUGACAACGAGAGAGCACGAGACAUAUAAGGAUUCAGAGAGGUGACACAUUACCUGAGCUGCAGCAGUGCAACAAGUGUUACAACAAUCACCAGCAGUGUUCUGCUUGACCAGCAUGUUUAAGCCAACCAAACUGGUCAAAUUAAAAAGUAAUCUUCAAAUCCACUUCAACAUGCAGUUGUCUGUGGAGUGUGACAUUCCAAUCAUACGGAGAUGGUGGACUCCAGAUGGUUUUCUCUGAAAGUGCAGAAACCCUACCAGAGGCCCUUCCAAGUGGAGAGCAGGC